UACGGAGGAUGCAAGCGUUAUCCGGGAUGAUUGGGCGUAAAGCGUCCGCAGGUGGCUGUGUAAGUCUGCUGUCAAAGAGCAAAGCUCAACUUUGUAAAGGCAGUGGAAACUACACGGCUAGAGUGCGUUCGGGGCAGAGGGAAUUCCUGGUGUAGCGGUGAAAUGCGUAGAGAUCAGGAAGAACACCGGUGGCGAAGGCGCUCUGCUAGGCCGCAACUGACACUGAGGGACGAAAGCUAGGGGAGCGAAUGGG
rnacentral:rRNA from 1 species